UGAUGUCAUCUAUGAUGUCAUGAGGGUGGUGGCCAUCAACAUUACAGCCCAUAGACUGGGCAGUCCCCGGAAUCUCUUUAAUGGUUCCAGAGAGUUCUCUGGCUAAGGAUCGGUGCCGCAUCUGUCGAGCAAUGUUGACGAUCUCAUCAAAAGUGAUAUUCCCAUUGUGUUUAAUGUUUUUCUGUUUCUUUCUGUCUCUUGGUGGUUUCUUGAGGGCUUUGAUGAUCGGGGCAGAGGCAGAAGGCACCACCUCAAUCUGGGCCUGUCUGUUCUCAAUGGUCAGUUUCACUGUAAUCCUCAGGCCCUUCCAGUCACCCGUUGCCUUGGCAAUGUCAUCACCAACCUUUUUUGGUGACAGACCCAGGGGGCCGAUCUUGGGGGCCAGGGCAGAAGUGGCACCGACUUCACCUCUGGUGCACCUCAGCUCAAAAAGUUUCCAAGAAGACAGGACCCCGGUGUUCCACAGCUAUUGCCACAGGGUUGAAGAACCAGAAGCCAGUUCCUGCUGUUCCUGUCCAGAAGUCUGGCACAUCAGGUGUUCCUCCCAUGGCAGGAGGGAAGAAACCCAGCAAACGUCCAGCCUGGGACUUAAAGGGUCAGUUAUGUGACCUAAAUGCAGAACUAAAACGGUGCCGUGAGAGGACUCAAACGUUGGACCAAGAGAACC
rnacentral:sRNA from 1 species